UAGGGAAUCUUCGGCAAUGGACGAAAGUCUGACCGAGCAACGCCGCGUGAGUGAAGAAGGUUUUCGGAUCGUAAAACUCUGUUGUUAGAGAAGAACAAGGACGUUAGUAACUGAACGUCCCCUGACGGUAUCUAACCAGAAAGCCACGGCUAACUACGUGCCAGCAGCCGCGGUAAUACGUAGGUGGCAAGCGUUGUCCGGAUUUAUUGGGCGUAAAGCGAGCGCAGGCGGUUUCUUAAGUCUGAUGUGAAAGCCCCCGGCUCAACCGGGGAGGGUCAUUGGAAACUGGGAGACUUGAGUGCAGAAGAGGAGAGUGGAAUUCCAUGUGUAGCGGUGAAAUGCGUAGAUAUAUGGAGGAACACCAGUGGCGAAGGCGGCUCGCUGGUCUGUAACUGACGCUAAGGCUCGAAAGCGUGGGGAGCAAACAGG
rnacentral:rRNA from 1 species